rnacentral:rRNA from 1 species
GAACCGUACGAACGUUAUUCGGAAUUACUGGGCUUAAAGGGUGCGUAGGCUGCACGGAAAGUUGGGUGUGAAAGCCCUCAGCUCAACUGAGGAAUUGCAUCCAAAACUGCCGUGCUUGAGGGAGACAGAGGUGAGCGGAACUCAAGGUGGAGCGGUGAAAUGCGUUGAUAUCUUGAGGAACACCGGUGGCGAAAGCGGCUCACUGGGUCUCUUCUGACGCUGAGGCACGAAAGCUAAGGGUAGCAAACGGGAUUAGAUACCCCGGUAGUCUUAGCUGUAAACGAUGAGCACUUGAUUGGAGGGUCCUCCCAUAGCCUUCCAGUCGUAGCGAAAGUGUUAAGUGCUCCGCCUGGGAGUAUGGUCGCAAGGCUG